AAAAUAAAGAGAGAAGAGAUAGAAUAAAGAGAUUUGAGACGGAAUAAAGAAACAAAAUAAAGAGAUGAAAUGAAAAGUAUGCCGUUUGAAAUAAACGUUGCAUAAAAUAGUUAAUUUGCAUUCAAUGUUAAUGGUUCAAAGAAUGUCAGGCAAAAUGGUUGGCCCUCAUACAUGUUCACUUCAUCAAAGUUUGGACACCCCUGCCUUAGCCCAUAAUGGCUGUGGCGAAACUAACCAUUUAUUUGUAUGAAAGACUGUGUUGGUUUGACU